GACGAACGCUGGCGGCGUGCCUAAUACAUGCAAGUCGAACGCUGAAGAGAGGAGCUUACUCUUCUUGGAUGAGUUGCGAACGGGUGAGUAACGCGUAGGUAACCUGCCUUGUAGCGGGGGAUAACUAUUGGAAACGAUAGCUAAUACCGCAUAACAAUGGAUGACACAUGUCAUUUAUUUGAAAGGGGCAAUUGCUCCACUACAAGAUGGACCUGCGUUGUAUUAGCUAGUAGGUGAGGUAAUGGCUCACCUAGGCGACGAUACAUAGCCGACCUGAGAGGGUGAGCGGCCACACUGGGACUGAGACACGGCCCAGACUCCUACGGGAGGCAGCAGUAGGGAAUCUUCGGCAAUGGGGGCAACCCUGACCGAGCAACGCCGCGUGAGUGAAGAAGGUUUUCGGAUCGUAAAGCUCUGUUGUAAGUCAAGAACGGGUGUGAGAGUGGAAAGUUCACACUGUGACGGUAGCUUACCAGAAAGGGACGGCUAACUACGUG
rnacentral:rRNA from 1 species